AGUUUGAAGUGUGACCAGUACGUAUUAUAGGACUUCUAAAACUAAAACUACAUGUAUUCUCAUGUCGAUCUUUGGGUAAUUAGUUGACUGACGCUGUGUAUAGAUGAACUAUAUUCACCCAUGUUGUGAUAUCAACAAGUGUUGCUUCUGUACCAGGUGCGUCAGGCUCUACGUCGUCUUCGGGAGAAACAACUACUACGGCGAGGUGAUCUGUCCAGCGGAUCACAUAGUACAGGAAGCCAGAUGUCAGACACGUGGGCAGUAAGGACCACCCGGCCGUACCCAGACUACCGACACAACCAGGUGGCGCCCUUGGCUACCAUGGCAACUACCACAACAAGACUCAACAGCCCGACUCAGUUAAAAGAGUUAGAUGAUCAAGUUGACGGUAACCAUGGUGAUCAUGAAAGGGAGAGAGAGGAACUAUCCUUGAUGUACAUCUAGCCACCCGGAAGGGACUACCAUCUUGCCACCCGGGACCAACAUCUUGCCACCAGGAACCUAUACCACCUGACAUAUCUACGACCGCGUGUCAUCUCUUCUCUGUAACACGUCUCUGUGCCCGAUCAAGGACUCGAUAUAUAGCAACAAAUGUUGACGUAUGCAGAAUGUGCACAAAUAUGACUUAUAUCCUUUCAAAGCCACAUGUUAACUAGAUCGAUAUUCCUAUCAAUUAUUAUUUCAAAAUGGGGGUGUAUCAGAAUUGAGAAGGACUCUCAAAGCACAUUGCUUCUUUAUCCACAGUCCGACGUAGAGCAUGUUAACGCUGAAUCAAAUUGUGUUCAUUUUUCUUAAUUUGAUUUAAUUUAUAUUUUCAUUUCCGGCCCUUACCUAAACGUUUCUUUUUUAUAUUAUUUGAAAUGUUUUAUGUGCCUCCAACGAGGGUGUUAGUGUACAGUUACUGGUGUAUCUAGCCGUGUCAAUGAUUUAACCACUCUCCUAGUCAAAUUUAGUAACCUAACCUACCUCUAAAGGCUUUAAGCGUCCACCCGUCCCUUCUACAUGCUCUCAUCAUCACUCAUAUGUCAAUCGUCCCCCCACCUAAACACCCACCCACACCCACACAUCCCAUCCAUACUUUAAAUGGUCGCUCCAUGCAUCCGUACACACGUACCUCCAUUCUUGUCCUCGCUUCGCUUCACCGACCCUCCGUCCCUAUCCACACGCUUCACGGCUUGUGCUUUCUACUGUUUUCCCUCUUAAAUGUUGACUUGUUACUCUCAGAUGCCGUUUAAAGACAUCACAUUGAACUGACACUUUGUAGUGCGUCUACAUUUUCUGAAAGGUUCAUUGACUUCGGAAAUUAGAACUAUCAGAUAACAUUUUCAUGAGUAAGGACCCCCUUGGGGAUCCCGUGUUAUAAACAUGACCUCGGGAACCCAUGUGAUUGUCGUAAGAAGUGACUAAAUUGGAUCAUGUGCCAGACGCGGUGACUUGGUAGAAUCUGCGUCAUGGCACACCGACAACGUUGUACGUUGCUCAUGUCAUUAAUCCCCAGUUACAGCGGUUGUGAACAUGUGUGUUCCAGUCAUACAAUUAAUGUCUGUAAAGGAAGAGUGGUUUGGGGAGUGAAGACGGUAAAGCGUUUCGUCACACCGAUGUCCCGAGCUGGAUGCACCACAUGGUAUAAUGACACCUGCCUAGAUAUUUCUCACCCACUCCUUGUUCACAUAGGCGGAUCCAGAGGGGGUGCACGGUUGCCCCUUGUCCUGAAAGUUUAUUCAAUGACCAUUGAAACUCUCGUGAAAAUGAAG
rnacentral:lncRNA from 1 species